rnacentral:rRNA from 1 species
AUCCCAAAAAGCAGUCCCAAGUUCGGAUUGGAGUCUGCAACUCGACUCCAUGAAGCUGGAAUCGCUAGUAAUCGCGGAUCAGCAUGCCGCGGUGAAUACGUUCCCGGGCCUUGUACACACCGCCCGUCACACCAUGAGAGUUGGUUGUACCCGACGUCGUUGGGCAAACCCUUCGGGGAUGCAGGCGCCUAAGGUAUGGCUGAUAAUUAGGGUGAAGUCGUAACAAGGUAGCCGUUGGGGAACCAGCGGCUGGAUCACCUCCUUUCUAA